GACGAACGCUGGCGGCGUGCCUAAUACAUGCAAGUCGAGCGGACGAAUCGAAAGCUUGCUUUUGAUUCGUUAGCGGCGGACGGGUGAGUAACACGUGGGCAACCUGCCCUGUAGACGGGGAUAACACCGAGAAAUCGGUGCUAAUACCGGAUAACACGAAAUGUCGCAUGACGUUUCGUUGAAAGACGGCGCAAGCUGUCGCUACAGGAUGGGCCCGCGGCGCAUUAGCUAGUUGGUGAGGUAACGGCUCACCAAGGCGACGAUGCGUAGCCGACCUGAGAGGGUGAUCGGCCACACUGGGACUGAGACACGGCCCAGACUCCUACGGGAGGCAGCAGUAGGGAAUCUUCCGCAAUGGACGAAAGUCUGACGGAGCAACGCCGCGUGAGCGAAGAAGGCCUUCGGGUCGUAAAGCUCUGUUGUUAGGGAAGAACAAGUAACGCAGUAACUGGCGUUACCGUGACGGUACCUAACGAGAAAGCCACGGCUAACUACGUG
rnacentral:rRNA from 1 species